rnacentral:miRNA from 1 species
UCUUUUUAUUAGUCGCCGGAU